rnacentral:rRNA from 1 species
CCUACGGGUGGCAGCAGUGAGGAAUAUUGGUCAAUGGGCGCGAGUCUGAACCAGCCAAGUAGCGUGAAGGAUGACUGCCCUAUGGGUUGUAAACUUCUUUUAUAUGGGAAUAAAACGUUCCACGUGUGGGAUUUUGUAUGUACCAUAUGAAUAAGGAUCGGCUAACUCCGUGCCAGCAGCCGCGGUAAUACGGAGGAUCCGAGCGUUAUCCGGAUUUAUUGGGUUUAAAGGGAGCGUAGGUGGAUUGUUAAGUCAGUUGUGAAAGUUUGCGGCUCAACCGUAAAAUUGCAGUUGAAACUGGCAGUCUUGAGUACAGUAGAGGUGGGCGGAAUUCGUGGUGUAGCGGUGAAAUGCUUAGAUAUCACGAAGAACUCCGAUUGCGAAGGCAGUUCACUGGACUGCAACUGACACUGAGGCUCGAAAGUGUGGGUAUCAAACAGGAUUAGAUACCCCUGUAGUC